UUUAAAUAGCUUCUAUUAUAGUAUAUUGUUAUAAUUUUUCUAUUUUACUAGUAGUUACUAUCAUUAAUCUCUCACUGUGCCUGUUUAAUAAAUUAAACUUUAUUGUAGGUAUGUAUGUACAGGCAUAAGCAGGUCAGAUAUCCAUUUAAACUCUUAGCUUAUAUCCCCCAUACGUAAGCAGGGCUACUGGACUUGAAUACAUCCAUAUAACUGACCACCAACCAAGAUAGGGCAUAUUUCCAUCACUUCAAAAAGUUCACUCUUGUACUUUUUAGUUGGUCCCCCUUCAUGAGUCCCUUGUCAUCACAGGUAAGAUUUAAGCAUCUUUUACAUGGAACCAUAGAGGAACUACUAUUAUGUGUUUGGCUUCAUUUGCUUCUUUCUUUCUAACUUGUAUGCCUUUAUUAUUUUUUUCUUACAUUAUUGAGUUAGCUAGGACUUUCAGCAUGUUAAAUAGAGACAGAGAAGACAUCUUGUUUCUGAACUCAAAAAAAAAGCAUUCAGUAUGGUAUUUCACCAUUAAAUAUGAGUAAAGUCAUUGGGGCUUGGAGUUUUCUCUUUUUUUGAAACAUUUUAAGAUUAUGAAUUUAAUUUUGAGAAUUAAUGUAAAGUUAUUUGGAUUUUUCUGUUGUCUCUUGAUAACUUUGAUAAGAUAUAUUUUUUAGGAAUUUAUCCAUCUGUACUAAGCUGUUGAGUUUAGAGGCAUAAAAUUAAUUACCCUGUCUUCUUAGAGAAUUACAUGCUUUAAUACAUUGUAAUAGCCUCUUCCACUGGUAGUUUUUCUUGUCUGACUUUGAUAUAAAUAAAGUUGCUUCAACUUUUUCUUAAUUUGUGACUGCAUGGUAUAAUUUUUUCCAUCCUUGUAAACUAUUUAUAUCUUUAUAUUUAAAGUAGGUUUUGUAGACAGUAGUAUUUGGGUCGUCCUUUACAUAAUAGUCUAACAGUCGCUAUCUUUUUAUUAGUGUGAUUUACAUUUAAUUUGGUUGUUAUGAUCAAAUUAAAAUCUCCCAUCUAACUAGCUGCUUUCUACAUGUCCUAUUUGUUCUUUUUUCCUUUGUUUAGCCCCCUUUUUGAUUGAAAUUUUUUUUAAUGAGGCAGUGUUACCUCUGCUAUUAGAUUACUAUAUAUACUAUUUUAAACAAAUUUAGGAGUUGCCUUAGAAUUUUACCAUGCACAUCUUAUUUGAUGAAAGUCUACUUUCAAAUAUUAUUUUGCUUAAUACUAAUUUAAGAACAGUAGAUUACCAAUUCCUCACUUCCAUUCUUGCCCUAUUGUUGUCAAAUAUUUGCUCUUAAUAUAUAUUAAGAAUAUAUAAAACUACUAUGUUUUCUUUAGAUAGCUAUCUUUCAGAGCAACUAGAUAUAAAAGAGAUGAUAGUAAACUGAGUCACAGAAAGAUUAAUUUGUCCAAAGAUACAGAAACAGAAAGUGACAGAACCUGGCAUCUUAACCACUAUAUUUCAACUGCCUCCAACAUUUGGAAGGGAACAAUGUUUGUGAUGCUGCUACAGUAGACCUUUGAUGAUGUCAAUAAGGAGACAUCCCCACUUUCUUUGGUUAAAAGUCUCAGAGACUUUAAGGAUCGCUGCCUGCCAAGAAGAAAGCAUGGUGAACCACAAGCUGUUGCUAUUUCACUGAACCACUCCACAGAUGGUCCAUGGCUGCUGAGCAGAGUGAACCUCAGGAUAGACUGCACUGGUCCCCGACAAGGCCACCCUCACCAGCAGAUGAGGUGUUAAUGGAUUAUUCCUGGUAAUGGGUUUCCCUUCGUCUCUUUAUUAAAUUCCAAGCUGUUACCUAGACUACAUCCCACUAUAUCUAAUUAAUGUACUAAUCAACUUUGUUUUGAAUGGAAAUGAAGAAAAUCUGUUGAUACUCCUGCUGGCAGAAUAAGAAAUAUGCCUACUGUGGAGUAUCUUUUUCCAUUAUGAAGAAAAUUUAAUCUCUGUCAUCCUCAAAAGUGAAAAAUUAUUUUGUAGUUGGAUUCCUGCUUGUAUGGCUUGGGGUUAUCCUAGUUUCCAAGUGACUAUUUGUUUCAGAAAGAUUCUCUCCAGAAGCCAUUCAUAAGGCUGUUAAAUUCUUUAAUAAAGAAUUGGAAGCCAAAUUAACUAGGCUAGAAACACGGAUAAUCAGUUGGCAGUAGACUGAUGUCCAGCCCCCUGAAUUUUUAACUGCUGCAGAACUGAGUGACCCAGCUGUGGGUCCCACUCCAAGUCUUCCAAUCUGAGAGCAGCCACCAUGCCAUCAUCUCACUCUGUCCUCCAGUUGUCUUGUGUAUCUCCCAGCAUCCAUAUGUGUGAUCCCUCCACACAGCGAUGCCCUCUGAUGACAUAUUGAGCAUGACAGCCAUGAGAGCCAUGAGCAUGUCCCAGCCACUGUGCUAUACCUUUAAAUCUUCUGUUCCAAUGACAACCAUUUGAAAAUGGGAAGAAUAAUCCCAUUUUUCACAUUUCAAAAUAAGACUUUGGAUAGAUUAUGUAUCUUGUCUGUAGCCACACAGCUACUAAUUGGUGAAGUAAGGAUUUUUGUCCACUUCCUACCCAAACCCCAGCCAUCAACUCUGUCAUCUCUAUUAAGAUUCUGGCUUCCCUAAAUAAAUACAUGAAAAAAUGUUCAACAUCACUGGUCAUUCGAGAGAUGCAAAUGAAAACAAAGCUGAGAUUCCACCUCACCCUGGAAAGAAUGGCUGCUAUCAUGAAAUCAACCAAUAACACAUGCUGGCAGGGCUGUGGGGAAAGAGGAACCCUGCUCCACUGCUGGU